UGCCAGCCGCCGCGGUAAUACGGAGGGGGCUAGCGUUGUUCGGAAUUACUGGGCGUAAAGCGCACGUAGGCGGAUUAGUAAGUUAGGGGUGAAAUCCCGGGGCUCAACCCCGGAACUGCCUCUAAUACUGCUAGUCUUGAGUUCGAGAGAGGUGAGUGGAAUUCCGAGUGUAGAGGUGAAAUUCGUAGAUAUUCGGAGGAACACCAGUGGCGAAGGCGGCUCACUGGCUCGAUACUGACGCUGAGGUGCGAAAGCUAGGGUAUCAAACGGGAUUAGAUA
rnacentral:rRNA from 1 species